rnacentral:rRNA from 1 species
ACGGGUGCGUAACGCGUGGGAAUCUGCCCUUAGGUACGGAAUAACUCAGGGAAACUUGAGCUAAUACCGUAUAAUGACUCCGGUCCAAAGAUUUAUCGCCUAAGGAUGAGCCCGCGUCGGAUUAGCUUGUUGGUGAGGUAAAAGCUCACCAAGGCGACGAUCCGUAGCUGGUCUGAGAGGAUGAUCAGCCACACUGGGACUGAGACACGGCCCAGACUCCUACGGGAGGCAGCAGUGGGGAAUAUUGGACAAUGGGCGCAAGCCUGAUCCAGCAAUGCCGCGUGAGUGAUGAAGGCCUUAGGGUUGUAAAGCUCUUUUACCCGGGAUGAUAAUGACAGUACCGGGAGAAUAAGCCCCGGCUAACUCCGUGCCAGCAGCCGCGGUAAUACGGAGGGGGCUAGCGUUGUUCGGAAUUACUGGGCGUAAAGCGCACGUAGGCGGCUUUGUAAGUUAGAGGUGAAAGCCCGGGGCUCAACUCCGGAAUUGCCUUUAAGACUGCAUCGCUCGAAUUGUGGAGAGGUAAGUGGAAUUCCGAGUGUAGAGGUGAAAUUCGUAGA